AUACGCCGGCGUUUGACGCAAAAGUAUAAAUCAGCCUUAAGUCAAGAACCAAAUGAAGCACCAGAGUACAGAUUAUGGAGGUAUCUGAAGUUGAACUAACUGGAAGCAGGGAACCAUACUAAUAAAGUUCCUUAAGCAGGUUCCUUGUAAAGAUUAACCCAGGGAAGGAUCGAAAGUGGAGAAGACCAGAUCAAGAAAGACUACAUCAAGAUCUGCGGUCAGUUCAAAGGAUGUUUUGCAUUGGACUGUUUUUUUUGGCUUUGACCCUUGCUUGCCCCUGACCUCACUCUUGGACUGCCCUGUUGGAUUUUCAGUUUAUUUAAUUAAAAAAAAAAUUUUUGGUUCUGGGUAGAUGCUAAUAAAUAUUUAAUUGUAAUUAUUUAAUGUAAAUCAAAGGCGGCAACACCAAGGCUCCAAAAAUACAAAUUUAUUAAAUUAAAAAGGCUGACACAGAGCGUAAAAUGUUUCGAGCCGCCGGCUCUUCAUUAGACAAAUAAUUUUUCGUUGUAAUUUUUUAAAUAAUAUGUUUUUGUUAAAUAUGCAAUUUCUGUGUUUGUUCUGUCUACUCGAACUUGUUUAUCUGGUUUCUGUAAUUAUCAUUUGUUUAUUUGACCCUUGCCUCGCCUCUGAUCUUGUUUUUGGAUUGCCCUUCAUAUAUCUUUUUAAUUAUUGGUUCUAGUUAUAUGGUUAUAAAAUAUUUGUUAAUUUAAUUAAU